GACAGGCUUGAGAGCUAACAGCUGACGGUUGCUUCCGCUCAGAACGCUUGAGAACAGCUGACGGUUGCUUCGCUCAGAACGCCUGAGAGCUAACAGCUGACGGUUGUUUCCUUAAAGAGCUUGAAAGAAAUUGACAAAUCUGGAGAUCUCGGAGAGUUUCCCCUGUAAACAGCUGAACCCCGAAAAAUAGCCGUUGACAGCUCGGAGCAUCGGUUUUUUUUUUAGCUUGUUUGAUACACUUUUGGCUUGGAGGGCCAAAGAUUCCAAGACCCUCUUCUCCUGAACCUGGAUGGCGAGCCCCAGCCCAGAGGACCAGGCGCACGGGUAGAUAGUGACCCGACUGGUCACCAGCUGAGAGACUGAGACUGAACAAUUGACUCAUUGGAGACCGAAGUAUUCAAUUUAUUUAUUUAUUUAUUUUUUUUUUAA